UGGGGAAUAUUGCACAAUGGGGGAAACCCUGAUGCAGCGACGCCGCGUGAACGAAGAAGGUAUUCGUAUCGUAAAGUUCUGUCCUAUGGGAAGAUAAUGACAGUACCAUAGAAGAAAGCUCCGGCUAAAUACGUGCCAGCAGCCGCGGUAAUACGUAUGGAGCGAGCGUUGUCCGGAAUUAUUGGGCGUAAAGGGUACGCAGGCGGUUUAAUAAGUCGAAUGUUAAAGAUCGGGGCUCAACCCCGUAAAGCAUUGGAAACUGAUAAACUUGAGUAGUGGAGAGGAAAGUGGAAUUCCUAGUGUAGUGGUGAAACACGUAGAUAUUAGGAGGAAUACCAGUAGCGAAGGCGACUUUCUGGACACAAACUGACGCUGAGGUACGAAAGCGUGGGGAGCAAACAGGAUUAGAUACCCUGGUAGUCCACGCCGUAACGAUGAAUGCUAGGUGUUGGGGGUCAAACCUCGGUGCCGAAGUUAACACAUUAAGCAUUCCGCCUGGGGAGUACGCACGCAAGUGU
rnacentral:rRNA from 1 species